CGUACGUGGGCGGGGCCGGCGCAGCGCGCCCACCGAGCCGGGGGGUGUGGUGGGCUAGCGGGCCGUGCCGGCCUUGUCCCUCGUGCUGGGGGCGUAACUCCUAGUCCUCUGCGGCCCGGAGUGAGCCGGUGGAGCAGGCCGCGGGGCACCCGCCGCCCGGGGCUGCCUGCCACUCCGGGCGUGUUUCCUCCGGGGGCGGCCUGGAGCCCCGGCUGUCGCUGUCCCGGCUUCCGCCGAGCUCGCAGUCCAGAUUCCACAGAGAAGUUUGAUCAUCCAGUAUUGUAAUCUGUCCGAUUUCUCUUAGCCGCAUGACUUCAAGAUCCAUCCAUGUUGUCCCAAAUGACCAUCAAGAACACUAUACCCAUCAUAGCUAGCUCCUCGGCGCUGGGCUGAUCAAACCCCCAUCUUGACUGACACUUCCACGAUCACCACAGCACUGGGAGAGAACCAUGGUAUGCUAUACACUGGCUUUUAUGUUUUCUGUGCAUAUGUGAUAUAUCACUUCUACUUACAUUUUAGAGUAUAACAACUCAAACGCCCAUGCCCAUCUUCAAAGAGAGCAAAGACCACACUGUUGUGUCCAACAUGUAAAGAAGUUGUCAGCAGAGGAGAUGACUAUUAAACUUAGUCCAAAGCCGACUCAACAGCUUUUAUUUUCUAAGCUUUGUUGGAAUACGUUAUACCAGAAGUAAUUUGCAGCAUGUUGUCUGUUUAACCAUGGACCUAUGCAAUGCUUUUAUCCAUGUUUUAAAAGGAAGGAAUUUGAUCAAAGGCAAACCAUCUUAUGUAAUUAGUCAAGGAAAAAGCUUUCAGGACUUUCAAAUGUUAACUGUUUUCCCUAUCUAGGAAGUGCUAUAAAGCUCAAAUUAGUUAGGAAUGACUUAUGCAUUUUUUGUUUUGAACACCUAGAGAUGCUUUUCAGAUAUGCGUAUUGCCAUAUUCUUGAUGCUUUGAAUGACCACAUCCAGUUCUGCACCUACACCCGCUGGCGUUGCUUUUUAACCUUCCUGGGGUCCAUUGUCUAAAAAAUAGAGACAUUUCCAGAUCACACACACGCACACACACACACACACACACACAAAGAGAGAGAGCAAAGAACUGCAGGCCAACCAUAUGCCAAGAAAGGGGAAAUGCGGACAUAUUUGGCAAGUGAGAGCAAGACCUCCCAUGUGAAUACAGACAUUGGGCCUUGGAAGAAGGAUGCUGCCAUACAGAAACUCACAAUCUGUACAGAACAAGUAGGCAGCAGGCAGUGAAGAAGCAGGUCAGCAGGCUGGGGAGCUGCAAAGCCCCAGUGCACCUUGGUAACAUAUCUAGUACGGCUGUCCCCAGUGAGAAGGAGAAGGUAGACCAUGAGCCUAGGGAGACCCUCCCUACGGGAAGUAGGAGGCGGAGUGCCGUGUGUACGAUACAGUUAUCUGCCUGUAGCAAGAUCUUACAGCAGAGAGGGGCUUAGAUGAGACCUGGUUGGUUUUCUGGAAGAGCUAGAGGGACUAAGGAAUUCUACAGAUCAAGGUCCUUUUAAAGUUAGAAAAGCUGACUGCUCCUGGACCCUAGGUCUAGGUGGUAACUUUUCCUAAAAGUUUUAAGUGAAAAAGGUACUAAAAGGUCUCUCAGUUUUUUAAAAAAAAGAAAUGUGACAUAAUCUUUCUACUAAGAUCAGAUUAAAGGUUUUAACUUUGCCAUCCAAACUUACUGUUUCAGAGAGCCUUCAGAUAGCCAUCAUUCGUACAGAGAGAGGGGCACGUAUAUGAGGGAGCAGAGAUGAAUCAUUCUUGAGAAUUAUAUAUGAGAAAGAGCUGUGGGAUUUACAAUACAGAAAGCCAAGUUUUUAAGGUAAUUGUAUUGUUGAAGAAAACAUGCACACAGGUAAAAAAAGAUUUUGAGCCGUAACACAAGCAAGCUCUCAGAGUGCCCCCAGCAGGAAGCCCAGAGAAGCUAUAUUUCUGGUUUACAGGUUGCUGGACCGUGAGGAGCCACAUUGGAACCCGACGGCAAGGACUGCAUCACACGGAGAUCUUAGAUCCCUCUCCUUUCCCUAAUAAAGGACUGCCCCAAAUGUGUGUUCUUUGACUUAACAGCCGCCUUCCAGGCAAGAACACGAGACCCAUGACAGGAGUAUCUUCCAUUAGUUUUCAGGGAAUAAGGUUCUUAUGGUGUAAAAUUUCACAUUUCAUAAUUGUUAGCUAUCUUUAGGGACUAAAGGUGCCAAGGUGAUAGGAGAAAAACUAGGUCUCUUCCUUUAAAUCUGUUCUGAGCUACCCUUGAGUAAAUUGAUGCUAUCAAUUUUUUGAUGCUCUAUUCUCAUAGCAACAGGCUGUGAUGUCAGCGGGUUAUUUCUCACAGAAGUUAUCCAAAAAAAGAUGCUGGGCUGAGAAGCAGAAAGCUGUGGCUUAAUUGCAUGGUAUUCAACUAUCACUUCACAUAAAUAAAAAUGGAAAUAGAAAAAGACUUGUACUAACAGUUUAUGUGAACACUUUUAUUAAUAGUUGUCAUGGUAUGAAGAAGCUUUCCUUUUAGUGCUUUAUCUCAGUGGUUAUAUAUUUUUUAAAAUAAUAUUACAGGGCAUUCAGUUACAAGUCUAAGCAAGACUAUCUCCUGCGAAUAAAGGUAGGCUAGGUCAGGCACACAGUCAAGAAAGCCACAUCAAAGCAUUUAAAAGAGUAAUCAGCAUGAUCAGAGAGGAAAAGACUACCUAUUACUAGGUUUGGAAUUUUUUUAUAGUAAGAACCUUAAAACAGUAGUUUCACUAGCAUACUUGAUCACAUGGAAAGGCAAAAUUAAAAGCACUAGCUUUGUUUAUCAGACAAAUGAUUAUCACUUGAACUCGGUUGGUGUAGGGAAGGCAGCACUCUGAAAAGCCGCCACUAACUCACGUGUCCGUGAAUUUGUGAAGUGGCCUCCGUGUAAGACAGGGUGGGUGCGUCUGGAGGCGCUCAGUUGGGACACAGCGACACAGAAGCCCAAGCCCAGUUGUUGAAGACGUGUGUUUGCCUGUUGACACUCCACGCUGGUCAGGGGUCCACUGGGGGCUCUGUUCUUUGUCAUCAGAGCAGCUGCUGUCUAGAACUGUGCUCGUUACUGGGGCAGAAGAAAGACAGAUGGAAAGGUUAUUUUGUGUAGGACAAGCAGCAUUUUUUUCUCUUACCUGGAAGGACGUCUGGAAGGUGUGGUUGUCAGUAGGACUGCUCCCAGACUUCCAGUGCUCGUUCUCUUCUCGUGCAUAAGUCCCAGCUGCUUACCUGUCCCCCACCCCCCGCCAUUAGAUGUGACCCUGUGACUUGCUUGGCUAAUACAGCGUGAAUAGAGCUGAUGGGCAGAAGCUUCCAGAGCGCCUGAGUGCUCUGCCACAUGGUUUCUUCUCCUUCAAUACCAAAAAGAUAUUUGUCAACAAAACUCAUAUAUAAGCAAAUACAAAGCAAAGCUCAAGAAAUACAAUUUUUGCUAAGAAGUAUAAAAACAUCACAAAACUACACUUAAAAAAAAAAAAUUCUCCCCUGGAGCCUGGGUGGCUCAGUGGGUGAAACGUCUGCCUUCGGCUCAGGUCAUGAUCUCAGGGUGCUGGGAUCGAGUCCGCAUGGGGC